rnacentral:rRNA from 1 species
ACUCCUACGGGAGGCUGCAGUGGGAAUUUUGGACAAUGGGCGCAAGCCUGAUCCAGCCAUGCCGCGUGCGGGAAGAAGGCCUUCGGGUUGUAAACCGCUUUUGUCAGGGAAGAAACGCUCUGGGAUAAUACCCUGGGGUAAUGACGGUACCUGAAGAAUAAGCACCGGCUAACUACGUGCCAGCAGCCGCGGUAAUACGUAGGGUGCAAGCGUUAAUCGGAAUUACUGGGCGUAAAGCGUGCGCAGGCGGUCUUGCAAGACAGAUGUGAAAUCCCCGGGCUCAACCUGGGAACUGCAUUUGUGACUGCAAGGCUGGAGUACGGUAGAGGGGGAUGGAAUUCCGCGUGUAGCAGUGAAAUGCGUAGAUAUGCGGAGGAACACCGAUGGCGAAGGCAAUCCCCUGGACCUGUACUGACGCUCAUGCACGAAAGCGUGGGGAGCAAACAGGAUUAGAUACCCUGGUAGUCCACGCCCUAAACGAUGUCAACUGGUUGUUGGGAAGGUUCCUUCUCAGUAACGUAGCUAACGCGUGAAGUUGACCGCCUGGGGAGUACGGCCGCAAGGUUGAAACUCAAAGGA